UAUUUUUUCGACGUCAUUAUCCCAUUUGUAGCAUCAGUUACUGUGGGUUUGAUCCAGAUAACCGAUGUUGGAGAAAGGAGAAUGUUUCAGGAGAUUUGCCUCCCACUUCUAGACGAUGCUUUGGUUUCGUAGCCAAGAAACUGCCCAGUGAUACAGAGAACCAGUGCCAUAUAUUUGCAGAGAUUGAAUCCAGUCAUCCUGCUUCAGCUAUUGUCUCAUUCCUUGAAAGUAUUAUUAAAAAUGUACCGAAGCAAGUUAAAUUUAGCGCAUGAUCAACAACAGAUGGAAAACACGUAGCGUCGUUUCCCUUCAGUAUAAACAAUACACAUCAUGAAAGAAGUAUGGACAGCUUUGGGGACUUUCUUUUGAUGUUCUAAUUCCUUUCAAAGAAAAAAUAUUUAUGACUUUUUUGUUUGUUUCCAAAAACGUUUUAUCACUUUACAUCUGUGGACGUUCACUAUCAAAUAACUCAAUGUUGUUUUUAUAGAAAUAUUAUAUAUAUAUAACUUGACAAGCCCAGUUUGUAUUUCAAUGAGGCCUUUAGUUAGAAUAAUGUUCUGAUUAAAAUAAUGAGCACAAAAAAAAGCUACGUUUAUAGUAUUCUUUUUUUUUUGUAAUAAAAUAGUUGUGUGUUCCCUAACGAUACCGUA